GAAGUACUAAACACGGUCUCGUCAGUGUUUGCAGGUGCGAGUUCCGUGCCAUCAGCUAACACAACACCGGGGUCAACAGAUGGAAGAGAUGGCCUGCAAGGUGAUAGAACAAUCUAAUUAAACAUAACACGAGUUACGUACCACCCAUAUCUUUGGAAGAUGAUAACAAUUUGCAUAAUGUGCAUUGCAGGGUCAGGACUUGAGAUAGUAUGCACUCCUGCACACGAGGUUGUUCAACCGAACAAGGCGGCAGGAACAACACAUGUCAGCCUGAACAGGGAGAUAGCCGCCCAAGAGCUAGACAUACGUGAGGAGAUGGAGCAGGCAACAAUCAAUCUAAACGUUACACAAACACAAGAUGGGCUUAGUACACAACCACAGAGAAAAAGGACCGUUAAGCCAGGGAGGGCUGCACGAUCCCCUUUCGUCCUAGGGUAUGAUCCUCCUGUAAGAGCACCAGCUAAUGUUAAAAAGGUCUUUAGGAUGUUUAUGAAAGAGCCUGCAGAUGCAAGGAAAUAGUAUGUAACCCUUUUACAUACAUCACAAAAAGGUUUUGGUUGCUUGGCAUUGAUUCUUCUUAAGCUAACAUGUGGAUUUUACAUUUGCAGCAAUUGGGUUAUCAGCACGCAGCCAAAAUACCUGGAGCUCACGGCUGAUCGUAUCAGGAUGAACCUGUCCGAAGGAGGUGUAAUAGAGAAUGAUUUGAUGACAGUAGCAGUUAGAAGAUACCAGCAAAAGGACUUUAUCUUUGCAUUGGAUAAAGAUGAAGGUUGCUGGCGACAUUGGCUAGAGCCAGACUUUAUGGUGAGUACAACUAUUGAUGACAAAAUAUAUUGAAUCAUUUUAUGCCAGAUAAACGAGCUCUGCUUAUUGGCUGUUGUAUUUAACAGAACCAUGUGAGUAGAGGAGACGUGAUCGUGAGGUACGUCCGGGAUAUGUUAAUCGGGGAACAUAUUAAUUAUGACGUGCACAGAUGCACAGAGGUAUUUAGUAGACAACGCUUUUUUAAGUACCGCUCUUAUCUAUAGUAUGAAAAAUGUUAUAUGAAUACAAUCUUACUACUGAUUAAUUGUCUAGUUCAUACUGCGUGUGAAGUUCAACUUCACAUGGUCGACAUACAUAUGGGAUUUUCCAAAAAAGAGGAUAAUUGUCCUUGACCCAACCAUUAACAAUGGGGACGAGUCUGACAAAUUAAUCCAGAACAGGCACCAUAAGGUUGCAGAUAACCUUCAUGUUGCAUUGCAAAGCUGCAUUCAGCAAUUCUUUCAAGGUUGGGCUCCAGACAUGGCAAGAUGGAAUACAGUUUUCCCGAAAGGGCUCAAUGUUGGCCUAUGCAACGGGUAAUUUCAACAGCUGUAAACAUGGCAUGAGUACGUAGAUAUGUGUGUUUACAGUAUAUAUAUUAAUGUUUUCAGGCCAGACAGUGGGGUAUAUGCGCUACACUACGGACGCAACUGGAUGGGAAGUAAAUUCAAGAGGGUCUUAAACCCGGUUCGUAAGCAGCUGACUUGUAACGUUUUCAAUUAACCGCUAAUGCAAAACAACGAAUAUGUGAUAACGCAUGACGUUUCAUGUCUUACGAGCAAAAUGAUGGAGUUCUCCAUUCCAGGAUGAACAUACUGGUAGAUGUACUUGGACUGGAGGGGAACAUUGGACACAUGCCUGAGAGAUACAGGAAAUUCCUCGUUAGGAAAAAUCAGUAAGCACGAUGGACGAUGCUUUUUAAAAAAUCGUGUGGUAUUUUGGUCAAGCAUCAAAGACGCAGUUUGAACUAUUGGAUGUAUGGUACAAGUUAAUCUGCAAUGUUUAAGCAUCCGGACAGACAAUCAUACUUUAAAUUUGGGGAAUGUAAUAUUUCGUUAUUUCAAGCUUGAACAAUCUGGUUUGGCAAUACUAUCUAUUUGUUAUGGCAAUCUGUUUUUGCAUCAAAUACCUUAAGAGUGCAAGCUUAGAAAGAACACACCAAAGAAGAUGCAUGGUGAAAUAGUUUUUCCUGCAUAACUUUAUAUAGCUAAGUAUAUGGAUGAGCUGGCAGCACAUCAUUAUCCCCCCCGCGACGAAAUGGAGUAGAUCCCUGUUAUGAAGCAAUGUGUUCAUGAGCCUAAAUAGCAAAUUAGGACCUCUUGCAACUCAAAAACCACACAUUGCCAUUUUUGGUAUAAUGAAAACAUAUUCAUACUUUUUUGAGAUUUUGCAUAGUAUGCAUCAUAAAUGAUUCUCAUGAGUACAAAAAAAUGCAAUAAGCUGAUAACAACCUAACCUAGGCAAAGUGAGACCUUUGGCAGAAAAAGGGAAGGACCACUCUUUUAUUGCUUCUGCUUGUGUUAAACAACAUUUAUAGGCAUAAUGAGCCAUUUAACCAUUUGUAAGUUGUAGCAACACUCUUGACAGUAAGAUCACUUUACUAAAACAACAGGAAGGAAUACUCAGACAGCUCCUUAAAAUAACAGAUAACAACAGGUGAUAACCAUUUGCGAAUUCCGUAUACAGUAGCAUUACACGGAACUUUCAAACUAAACAACUGAAGACCAUCAAGUAAAACAAAAUAUAAUGCAGCUUUAUGUUGCAAGUUAUCCAUAAGUUCAGGGCAGGGAGAGCCAUGUCUGAUAUAUGAUUCGAUAUAUAAAUCGAGGUCAAAAUCUUUAUAGAUAUGAUUUCGUAAUAAAAAAAUCAUUAAUAACGAACAAGAUACAGAAUAAGAACGCACUGCAUGUCACCUGGAUCUGGCAGGGUCACUGACGGAUACGAAAUUUAUUAUGAAGAUGCAUCAAGUACGUAUAUUUUAUUCUUUGGUCGUACAUCAACCAUAGCAUUGUGUUAGGGAUACAGAAAGAGAAACAGAUUUCAAAAGCAGUUCACAGAAACUGCAAGCGUUAUUAUGUGAAAAGAAAGAUUAUUAAUACCAAACGGACGUUUUAAUAUGAGAAAAGGAUAAAAUCACUAACACCAACCAUAGUAUUUGGUUGGGGAUCGAUUGAAUGAAACGGAAGGGGAAAGUUUAUAUGGAUAACGAUUUAGGGAUUUCAGAUUUAGAACUAUAAUGACAAAGAUACCUGUUACUCUGACCUCGGAUCUGACCGGGAGUCUUGCUCAUCAUAGAUAUGCCGCCUAACCGGCGGCGACGCCUCUGUAUCAACGGGAUAGCUUCAUAGAAAUGGAGAUUGGGAAGGAGCACAAGCAAGGUCGAGCCUGCGUCGUGAGAUUCCUAUUUUGUGGCGUCCUGAGAUUCGUAUUUCGUAGACAUGGAGGUUGGGAAGAAGCACAAGAGUCGGUCCCGGUGAAGGAGAAGAGCUGGGGAAGGGAUGG
rnacentral:lncRNA from 1 species